rnacentral:rRNA from 1 species
CACGUAGGGGGCAAGCGUUGUCCGGAUUUAUUGGGCGUAAAGAGCUCGUAGGCGGUUCGGUAAGUCGGGUGUGAAACCUCCAGGCUCAACCUGGAGUCGCCACUCGAUACUGCUGUGACUAGAGUCCGGUAGGGGAGCGUGGAAUUCCUGGUGUAGCGGUGGAAUGCGCAGAUAUCAGGAAGAACACCGACGGCGAAGGCAGCUCGCUGGGACGGUACUGACGCUGAGGCGCGAAAGCGUGGGGAGCGAACAGG